CUUUCACUUCCUGGGGGUGGGAAAAGCAGGGCCUGAGGUACAACCAGGAAAAGGCCCGGAGCUACAACCGGGAAACACAGGAUCCAGACUCUCAAGUUCUCUACAUGGCUGUGCAACCCCAUCACAGACACUUCAGUGAAGAUUCAGAACUGCAGCAGAAAAAACUGUUUGCUCUUACAGGAAAUGUGAUUUCCAGAGAAUACACCGUAAGCUUCAGCUCAUGUGAAGGGUAUCUUCUGAAGCUCGUUUCCAUGAAACUCGCCCUGUUAAAUAUCUCCCUUCCCGUGAUUCGUGAGAGAGCUAGUCUAAAAACAAAAAACCUCCCCUUUGCUCCAGGUCGGAGAUAAUUUUCCUCUAGUUGCUGACAGUUUGGUGACCAGGCAUUACUGAAAAUGUGCACGUUGAACCAGCAGCAGAUUUGUGUUUAAGAAUAAACUGACAAAUUUUCACUUCCUACCCUGAAAUAUUUAGAAAGGCAACC
rnacentral:lncRNA from 1 species